rnacentral:rRNA from 1 species
GGGGAAUAUUGCACAAUGGGCGCAAGCCUGAUGCAGCGACGCCGCGUGAGGGAUGGAGGCCUUCGGGUUGUGAACCUCUUUCGCUCAUGGUCAAGCCGCAACAAUGGUUGUGGUGAGGGUAGUGGGUAAAGAAGCGCCGGCUAACUACGUGCCAGCAGCCGCGGUAAUACGUAGGGCGCGAGCGUUGUCCGGAAUUAUUGGGCGUAAAGGGCUUGUAGGCGGUUGGUCGCGUCUGCCGUGAAAUCCUCUGGCUUAACUGGGGGCGUGCGGUGGGUACGGGCUGACUUGAGUGCGGUAGGGGAGACUGGAACUCCUGGUGUAGCGGUGGAAUGCGCAGAUAUCAGGAAGAACACCGGUGGCGAAGGCGGGUCUCUGGGCCGUUACUGACGCUGAGGAGCGAAAGCGUGGGGAGCGAACAGGAUUAGAUACCCUGGUAGUCCACGCUGUAAACGUUGGGCACUAGGUGUGGGGGCCACCCGUGGUUUCUGCGCCGUAGCUAACGCUUUAAGUGCCCCGCCUGGGGAGUACGGCCGCAAGGCUA